UACGUAGGGUGCGAGCGUUUGUCCGGAAUUAUUGGGCGUAAAGAGCUUGUAGGCGGUCUGUCGCGUCUGCUGUGAAAAUCCGGGCUCAACCCCGGACUUGCAGUGGGUACGGGCAGACUAGAGUGUGGUAGGGAGACUGGAAGUUCCUGGUGUAGCGGUGAAUGCGCAGAUAUCAGGAGGAACACCGAUGGCGAAGGCAGGUCUCUGGGCCACUACUGACGCUGAGAAGCGAAAGCAUGGGAGCGAACAGG
rnacentral:rRNA from 1 species